UACGUAGGUGGCAAGCGUUGUCCGGAUUUACUGGGCGUAAAGGAUGCGUAGGCGGAUAUUUAAGUCAGAUGUGAAAUACCCGGGCUCAACUUGGGUGCUGCAUUUGAAACUGGAUAUCUAGAGUGUGGGAGAGGUAAGUGGAAUUCCUAGUGUAGCGGUGAAAUGCGUAGAGAUUAGGGAGAACACCAGUGGCGAAGGCGACUUACUGGACCGUAACUGACGCUGAGGCAUGAAAGCGUGGGGAGCAAACAGG
rnacentral:rRNA from 1 species